UGCCAGACUCCUACGGGAGGCAGCAGUGGGGGAUAUUGCACAAUGGGGGGAACCCUGAUGCAGCGACGCCGCGUGGGUGAAGGAGCGUUUCGGCGCGUAAAGCCCUCUCGGCAGGGAAGAAACAGACGGUACCUGACUAAGAAGCCCCGGCUAACUACGUGCCAGCAGCCGCGGUAAUACGUAGGGGGCAAGCGUUAUCCGGAUUCACUGGGGGUAAAGGGAGCGUAGACGGCGACGCAAGUCUGGAGUGAAAGCCCGGGGCCCAACCCCGGGACUGCUCUUGGAACUGCGCGGCUGGAGUGCAGGAGGGGCAGGCGGAAUUCCUGGUGUAGCGGUGAAAUGCGUAGAUAUCAGGAGGAACACCGGUGGCGAAGGCGGCCUGCUGGACUGCAACUGACGUUGAGGCCCGAAAGCGUGGGGAGCAAACAGGAUUAGAUACCCGAGUAAA
rnacentral:rRNA from 1 species